rnacentral:rRNA from 1 species
CAAAGCAGCGGAGCAUUGUGGUUUAAUCGAAGCAACGCGAAGUAACCUUACCAGAUCUUGACAUCCAAUUGACCAUCUUUUAAUCGAGAUUUUGCCUUCGGGUACAAUUGAGACAGGUGGUGCAUGGUUGUCGUCAGCUCGUGUCGUGAGAUGUUGGGUUAAGUCCCGCAACGAGCGCAACCCUUGUGUUUAGUUGCAAACAGGUAAUGCUGUGCACUCUAGACAGACUGCCGUGGACAACACGGAGGAAGUGGGAUGACGUCAAGUCCUCAUGGCCUUUAUGUCCAGGGCUACACACGUGCUACAAUGGGUGGUACAAAGAGCCGCGAACUCGCGAGAGCAAGCAAAUCUCAAAAAACCAUCCUCAGUUCGGAUUGGAGUCUGCAACUCGACUCCAUGAAGCUGGAAUCGCUAGUAAUCGCGGAUCAGCAUGCCGCGGUGAAUACGUUCCCGGGCCUU